rnacentral:lncRNA from 1 species
CCUUUAUGCCAGGCGCAGUCUCAGCUGCAGACACACCCUGAAGGCCGCCCCUGGCUGACUGGGAGCUGGCUCCUUCCCCGUGCAGUCCCACAGCAGGGAGGACUGGAGCACAAACUCAGGUCUCCCUCGGCCCUCUUCUCCCUCCCACUGUGGGCCAAACGCGGUGCAGAAGGCCUGAGGAGCCCAAGCACUGAUAUCCAGGUGCCAUCUGCUGAGCUAACAGAAACCAGCUGGUUGCUGGGUUCUACAAAGGGAAGCUUACAGCAAACUGAAAGCAUACUCAUUCUGGUGGUGCCCAAGGCACAGACUCCAUCACCACUGCAAAGAACAAGACCUGAGGAUGUUACAGCCAACACACUGAGGUUUGGUCUUCAGCUCCUUAUUUUCCUGUUCUGCACCUUAGAGUAGAGAGUCUGUCUCUGAGGUUUCACUUGGACGUUUUCAGCAUUAGACAACUC